GAUGAACGCUGGUGGCGUGCCUAACACAUGCAAGUCGAGCGAUUCUCUUCGGAGAAGUGCGGCGGACGGGUGAGUAACGCGUGGGUAACCUGCCCUGUACACACGGAUAACAUACCGAAAGGUAUGCUAAUACGAGAUAACAUGCUUUUAUCGCAUGGUAGAAGUAUCAAAGCUUUUGCGGUACAGGAUGGACCCGCGUCUGAUUAGCUAGUUGGUGAGGUAACGGCUCACCAAGGCGACGAUCAGUAGCCGACCUGAGAGGGUGAUCGGCCACAUUGGAACGGAGACACGGUCCAAACUCCUACGGGAGGCAGCAGUGGGGAAUAUUGCACAAGGGGCGAAAGCCUGAUGGAGCAACGCCGCGUGAGCGAUGAAGGCCUUCGGGGCGUAAAGCUCUGUCCUCAAGGAAGAUAAUGACGGUACUUGAGGAGGAAGCCCCGGCUAACUACGUG
rnacentral:rRNA from 1 species